AAUAUUGCGCAAUGGAGGGAACUCUGACGCAGCGACGCCGCGUGAGCGAUGAAGGUCUUCGGAUCGUAAAGCUCUGUCCUUGGGGAAGAAGGGAGCCGUAAGGCUUCUUGACGGUACCCAUGGAGGAAGCCCCGGCUAACUACGUGCCAGCAGCCGCGGUAAUACGUAGGUGGCAAGCGUUGUCCGGAAUUACUGGGUGUAAAGGGCGUGUAGGCGGGAGGACAAGUCAGAUGUGAAAGCCCAUGGCUUAACUGUGGAAUUGCAUCUGAAACUGUUUUUCUUGAGUGCUGAGAGGAAAGUGGAAUUCCUAGUGUAGCGGUGAAAUGCGUAGAGAUUAGGAGGAACACCAGUGGCGAAGGCGGCUUUCUGGACAGUAACUGACGCUGAGGCGCGAAAGCGUGGGGAGCAAAC
rnacentral:rRNA from 1 species